rnacentral:rRNA from 1 species
GAUGAACGCUGGCGGCGUGCCUAAUACAUGCAAGUCGAGCGAAUGGAUUAAGAGCUUGCUCUUAUGAAGUUAGCGGCGGACGGGUGAGUGACACGUGAGUAACCUGCCCAUAAGACUGGGAUAACUCCGGGAAACCGGGGCUAAUACCGGAUAACAUUUUGAACCGCAUGGUUCGAAAUUGAAAGGCGGCUUCGGCUGUCACUUAUGGAUGGACCAGCGUCGCAUUAGCUAGUUGGUGAGGUAACGGCUCACCAAGGCAACGAUGCGUAGCCGACCUGAGAGGGUGAUCGGCCACACUGGGACUGAGACACGGCCCAGACUCCUACGGGAGGCAGCAGUAGGGAAUCUUCCGCAAUGGACGAAAGUCUGACGGAGCAACGCCGCGUGAGUGAUGAAGGCUUUCGGGUCGUAAAACUCUGUUGUUAGGGAAGAACAAGUGCUAGUUGAAUAAGCUGGCACCUUGACGGUACCUAACCAGAAAGCCACGGCUAACUACGUGCCAGCCGCCGCUGUAA